AACGCACCGCAAUCGUUGUCCGCUUUGGUACUAGACAUGGACUGGAUUCAGGUUUGGAGAAGUAUAAAGAGAACUAGCUUUGCUUGUACUGGAUAGCGCUAUCAACUUUUUUACUCGAUACCUCUAUGUAUCGCAUGACAAGACCCUUCGGGCAGUAGGGCGUCUGGCACCGAUUGCAAUACGUUCUCAAUGAAAACAUGAUGUCGUACAGUUUUGUCAAUGAUUGGAGGUUUUUAUACUGUAUAACUAUUUCAAUUCUAAAUAUGUUUUUGUUAGUUGUCGAGAAAGGACCAACGCUUAUUGAUAAACUGCUAGUGCAGUUCAAACCUCGACUAUAAUUAAACUAAAUAUAUUUAUACUGGAUGGCUGUAUAUGAGUUUUAAACUGUCCUCUCUAGGGAUAGACUAGCUAUAUGCGUUAAUCUCUUCUGCAAUUGCGUCCCCCCCUCGUGUUUUAAGAAUUGUUCGCCACAUCGUUUACAUGACUUUUCGUUAAGGGAAAACGUGCGUGAGCCGAGCGCUGAUUAUGCCAAUAUCGUGCGCACUUGCAGACAAGAUCUUUGUUUACUUUUUGAUAGUCGUUUAUUUAAUUUUCCUGCACAUAAGUGUAAUUACUUAAUUGCGCAAAUAGCGCGCAAGAAAAACAACCCAAUUCUCUCAUAAGUCCGUUCCGCCCAACGUUUAGGACAUAAAGUGUUAUAAUUGAAGCCAACUGAGUUGAAGUCUUGGCUAUUUCUUGCUUUCACUGAGCGUUACGAGGGAGCAGAUGUUACUCGACUUCUGAUCUGUUGACACUUUUGAGAGAAAGCAAAUUAAACCAUAUAUCUCUCAGUUCGAUUUAUGUGCGUCUAAAAAUAAGACUGCUAUACCUACUGUAGAAUGAGACGAAUUAACAUUAUAUUCUCCGACUCUGAGAACCGCAGGUUGACCAACAUCUGCUGCACGAUAGUGCUUAGUGAAACCAAGCUAUACUUCUCUUUUAUAAGUUUCAUUCUAGUACAUUAAUUAACAUUUAAUCAUUUCAUAUCACACAAUUAACCGAUGCCAUUGUACAUGUCCGACACGCACAUGUCCUCUCAUAAGGCACAUACUCGUGUCGACAGACAGAAGUAAAAUGUUCUUAGCAGCGCAUAAAUCUUUUUAGACAAGUACAAGCUAAUAGAGUGUUUAAGAUGAACUCUUUUUAAGAACCUAAUAUACAAGACUAGUAUAGGUGUUGACUCUGGUCUCUGCAUAGCAACGCGAAAUCGCAGCCACACGAGCUGUACACGGAAUUAGAAAUAUUGAUAGAUGCUUAUUAGACUGUUGGUUUUAUUAAUAAAAGU